rnacentral:rRNA from 1 species
GGUUAAGCGACUAAGCGUACACGGUGGAUGCCCUGGCAGUCAGAGGCGAUGAAGGACGUGCUAAUCUGCGAAAAGCGCCGGCGAGGUGAUAUGAACCCUUGACCCGGCGAUGUCCGAAUGGGGAAACCCAGUGCAAUCCGUUGCACUAUCGUUAACUGAAUACAUAGGUUAACGAGGCGAACCGGGGGAACUGAAACAUCUAAGUACCCCGAGGAAAAGAAAUCAACCGAGAUUCCCCCAGUAGCGGCGAGCGAACGGGGAGCAGCCCGGAGUCUGAAUCAGCUUGUGUGUUAGUGGAACGGUCUGGAAAGUCCGACGGUACAGGGUGAUAGUCCCGUACACGAAAGCACACAUGCUGUGAACUCGAAGAGUAGGGCGGGACACGUGGUAUCCUGUCUGAAUAUGGGGGGACCAUCCUCCAAGGCUAAAUACUCCUGACUGACCGAUAGUGAACCAGUACCGUGAGGGAAAGGCGAAAAGAACCCCGGCGAGGGGAGUGAAAAAGAACCUGAAACCGUGUACGUACAAGCAGUGGGAGCCUCUUUAUGGGGUGACUGCGUACCUUUUGUAUAAUGGGUCAGCGACUUAUAUUCUGUAGCAAGGUUAACCGUAUAGGGGAGCCGAAGGGAAACCGAGUCUUAACUGGGCGUUAAGUUGCAGGGUAUAGACCCGAAACCCGGUGAUCUAGCCAUGGGCAGGUUGAAGGUUGGGUAACACUAACUGGAGGACCGAACCGACUAAUGUUGAAAAAUUAGCGGAUGACCUGUGGCUGGGGGUGAAAGGCCAAUCAAACCGGGAGAUAGCUGGUUCUCCCCGAAAGCUAUUUAGGUAGCGCCUCGUGAACUCAUCUUCGGGGGUAGAGCACUGUUUCGGCUAGGGGGCCAUCCCGGCUUACCAACCCGAUGCAAACUACGAAUACCGAAGAAUGUUAUCACGGGAGACACACGGCGGGUGCUAACGUCCGUCGUGAAGAGGGAAACAACCCAGACCGCCAGCUAAGGUCCCAAAGUCAUGGUUAAGUGGGAAACGAUGUGGGAAGGCACAGACAGCCAGGAUGUUGGCUUAGAAGCAGCCAUCAUUUAAAGAAAGCGUAAUAGCUCACUGGUCGAGUCGGCCUGCGCGGAAGAUGUAACGGGGCUAAACCAUGCACCGAAGCUGCGGCAGCGACACUUAUGUGUUGUUGGGUAGGGGAGCGUUCUGUAAGCCGUUGAAGGUGUGCUGUGAGGCAUGCUGGAGGUAUCAGAAGUGCGAAUGCUGACAUAAGUAACGAUAAAGCGGGUGAAAAGCCCGCUCGCCGGAAGACCAAGGGUUCCUGUCCAACGUUAAUCGGGGCAGGGUGAGUCGACCCCUAAGGCGAGGCCGAAAGGCGUAGUCGAUGGGAAACAGGUUAAUAUUCCUGUACUUGGUGUUACUGCGAAGGGGGGACGGAGAAGGCUAUGUCAGCCGGGCGACGGUUGUCCCGGUUUAAGCAUGUAGGCGGAGGUUCCAGGUAAAUCCGGUACCUUGUUAACGCUGAGGUGUGAUGACGAGGCACUACGGUGCUGAAGUGAUAAAUGCCCUGCUUCCAGGAAAAGCCUCUAAGCAUCAGGUAACACGAAAUCGUACCCCAAACCGACACAGGUGGUCAGGUAGAGAAUACCAAGGCGCUUGAGAGAACUCGGGUGAAGGAACUAGGCAAAAUGGUGCCGUAACUUCGGGAGAAGGCACGCUGAUGUGUAGGUGAAGCCCCUGCGGGUGGAGCUGAAAUCAGUCGAAGAUACCAGCUGGCUGCAACUGUUUAUUAAAAACACAGCACUGUGCAAACACGAAAGUGGACGUAUACGGUGUGACGCCUGCCCGGUGCCGGAAGGUUAAUUGAUGGGGUUAGCGGCAACGCGAAGCUCUUGAUCGAAGCCCCGGUAAACGGCGGCCGUAACUAUAACGGUCCUAAGGUAGCGAAAUUCCUUGUCGGGUAAGUUCCGACCUGCACGAAUGGCGUAAUGAUGGCCAGGCUGUCUCCACCCGAGACUCAGUGAAAUUGAACUCGCUGUGAAGAUGCAGUGUACCCGCGGCAAGACGGAAAGACCCCGUGAACCUUUACUAUAGCUUGACACUGAACACUGGUCCUUGAUGUGUAGGAUAGGUGGGAGGCUUUGAAGCGUGGACGCCAGUCUGCGUGGAGCCAACCUUGAAAUACCACCCUUUAAUGGCUGGUGUUCUAACGUAGACCCGUAAUCCGGGUUGCGGACAGUGUCUGGUGGGUAGUUUGACUGGGGCGGUCUCCUCCCAAAGAGUAACGGAGGAGCACGAAGGUUGGCUAAUCCUGGUCGGACAUCAGGAGGUUAGUGCAAUGGCAUAAGCCAGCUUGACUGCGAGCGUGACGGCGCGAGCAGGUGCGAAAGCAGGUCAUAGUGAUCCGGUGGUUCUGAAUGGAAGGGCCAUCGCUCAACGGAUAAAAGGUACUCCGGGGAUAACAGGCUGAUACCGCCCAAGAGUUCAUAUCGACGGCGGUGUUUGGCACCUCGAUGUCGGCUCAUCACAUCCUGGGGCUGAAGUAGGUCCCAAGGGUAUGGCUGUUCGCCAUUUAAAGUGGUACGCGAGCUGGGUUUAGAACGUCGUGAGACAGUUCGGUCCCUAUCUGCCGUGGGCGCUGGAGAAUUGAGGGGGGCUGCUCCUAGUACGAGAGGACCGGAGUGGACGCAUCACUGGUGUUCGGGUUGUCAUGCCAAUGGCACUGCCCGGUAGCUAAAUGCGGAAGAGAUAAGUGCUGAAAGCAUCUAAGCACGAAACUUGCCCCGAGAUGAGUUCUCCCUGAGACUUUAAGUCUCCUGAAGGAACGUUGAAGACGACGACGUUGAUAGGUCGGGUGUGUAAGCGCAGCGAUGCGUUGAGCUAACCGAUACUAAUGAACCGUGAGGCUUAACCUU